UCCUGGUUAGCUAAGUUGGUAGAGCGCUCCACUGGAAAUGGGGUGGUCCCUGGUUCGAUAUAAGGAUCAGGCG
rfam:Ixodes scapularis strain Wikel colony gcontig_1108378495912, whole genome shotgun sequence.